rnacentral:ncRNA from 1 species
CUGCCGUCACUCGAAGAUGGAUCCGCGGCGCAUUAGCUAGUUGGUAAGGUAACGGCUUACCAAGGCGACGAUGCGUAGCCGACCUGAGAGGGUGAUCGGCCACACUGGGACUGAGACACGGCCCAGACUCCUACGGGAGGCAGCAGUAGGGAAUCUUCCGCAAUGGACGAAAGUCUGACGGAGCAACGCCGCGUGAACGAUGAAGGUCUUCGGAUCGUAAAGUUCUGUUGUUAGGGAAGAACAAGUGCCAGAGGAAAUGCUGGCACCUUGACGGUACCUAACCAGAAAGCCCCGGCUAACUACGUGCCAGCAGCCGCGGUAAUACGUAGGGGGCAAGCGUUGUCCGGAAUUAUUGGGCGUAAAGCGCGCGCAGGCGGUUCCUUAAGUCUGAUGUGAAAGCCCACGGCUCAACCGUGGAGGGCCAUUGGAAACUGGGGAGCUUGAGUACAGAAGAGGAGAGUGGAAUUCCACGUGUAGCGGUGAAAUGCGUAGAUAUGUGGAGGAACACCAGUGGCGAAGGCGACUCUCUGGUCUGUAACUGACGCUGAGGCGCGAAAGCGUGGGUAGCAAACAGGAUUAGAUACCCUGGUAGUCCACGCCGUAAACGUUGAGUGCUA